UGUUUGUUAAUCAAGUGUUACUAACUAUCACUGAGUCCGGACAGGAAGUUGAUUGAUCGAUGUGUGUUUCAGUGUGGAGAGAUACGACCCGAGCAAAGACUCAUGGGAUAUGGUGGCGCCGAUGGCUGAUAAGCGCAUUAACUUCGGCGUGGGCGUGAUGCUGGGCUUCAUCUUCGUGGUGGGAGGACACAACGGUGUGUCUCAUCUGUCCAGCAUCGAGCGCUACGACCCGCAGCAGAACCAGUGGACGGCGUGUCGACCCAUGAACGAGCCGCGCACCGGCGUGGGCUCUGCUGUGGUGGAUAACUAUCUCUAUGUGGUCGGGGGUCACUCGGGCUCGUCGUAUCUGAGCGCGGUGCAGCGGUACGAGCCCAUCACGGACAGCUGGCACGACUCCAGUGGGAUGAUGUACUGCCGCUGUAACUUCGGCCUGACCGCGCUUUGACCCUGGCCACACGGCUGACCGUCAGACGCGAGGGGAACUGGCUUUGUUUCUGGAGUGUGUUUCCCGCUCAUCCGGUGGCGUUUGCUCCAGGCGGCGCUGGGACGCGGAGCGUUUACGGCACUGAAGCACAGGUCUGAUGAACACCAGAGCCUUCCACAGACCCUCGGAGGAUGCGGAGCGCCCCGCUCUUCCCCUUUACAUUUCAAGGCUUCUGAUGAGGGACGCACAUGCGGCGAGUAUGUGUGUGUGAGCGUGUGAUGCAUGAGUUGAAUCAGCGCUUCACUCUGGAGGAGAAGCCUGGGACUCGUGAUAAGGGCUGCCUUCUGUCCUCUAUAUACAGAUGAAGCAUCACAGUAACGUGGCUGGUUUGAGUGGAGUGUGGCGUGAGUGACGUCAGACAGCGGUCACAUGGUGCCAAACCUUCACGCACUCGUCUUCACACAGAUGCAGCGUCUCUCGAGAUUCUGGCGCUGUGCACUUACCAAACCGUUUUCUACUGUGUAAAUAUGACCUUUGAGUUCCGUUGAGGCAAUAAGACUUUUUCUUCAACUCAUCAUCAAUUGCCAAGGUGUUUUGGGAAUCCUGUGACUGACCUGAACGGCUGCUUUGUUUCAUUAUGUUGCUCGUUAUUCUGGAUUUCAGCACUUUUGGUGUUGAUUUUGGAUCUGAACUGCUUUUAGAAGCGUGUUUUGGAUUGAUUGGACAUGAAAAGCGUGAUGUCUCUCAGUCCAGAACAUGAUUUUUAGUGUUUCAGUGCAGAUCCAGAGGCACAAAGGGAACCAACGCUCAUCAGAAGCAUCCGUGUUUGAUUAGCAAUAAGAUAUAUUUCCUUGCAUCCAUGAAUGUCCAUCACCGUCAUUCACUGAAUCUGCAGCAGAUGAUCGUGUGUGGUUUUUCUCUCCUGAAGCGUGUUGAUGUUGAUCCGAGAGUUUCUGAUCCAUCGGUCUGUUUAACGGCGGUCAGAUGAUGGUGAGAAGCUGAAAUCACGCUGGCGUGACCGUGAACGCUGCUUCUGGUUUAUUCCUGUGGGAUCCUUGAGGCCAUACGUGUAAAAUGUCAAACGAAGGCAUUGGGUGAUGUUUGUGUUUGUGUCUGAAUCGCCGCUCUCACCGAAGUGCUCGUCUCACGAGGGAAUCGGAAUCAGUCCAGAACGACUCCCUCACUGUCUUAAACUUUUGAUCAUUUUUCCUGAUGAUGAUGAUGAUGAUGCCACAUUUUCUUUUUCCGUCCGUCUGGCUUGUGUUUGAAAUGGAGUGCAUUUUUAUAAACCUGUGGAUUGUUACUGGAACUAAACCGAUAACCUUAGCUACAAACGCAGUAUUUAUUUUUCACAUUUUAACAAAGCAUUGAGAGCAUAGCGUACUUCUGCCAGUUUAUUUGUGUGUGUCGCAGCUCGAUCAGUCAAGAAAUAAAGGCCUGGAAAUGAUUCUGCAGGAGUCCGGCGUGUUUCUGCUUCAUGCUCAAAGGUAUAGUUCAUCUGAAAAUG